CAGUCGCCGCGGUAAUACAGAGGGUGCAAGCGUUAAUCGGAAUUACUGGGCGUAAAGCGCGCGUAGGUGGUUUGUUAAGUUGGAUGUGAAAGCCCCGGGCUCAACCUGGGAACUGCAUCCAAAACUGGCAAGCUAGAGUACGGUAGAGGGUGGUGGAAUUUACUGUGUAGCGGUGAAAUGCGUAGAUAUAGGAAGGAACACCAGUGGCGAAGGCGACCACCUGGACUGAUACUGACACUGAGGUGAGAAAGCGUGGGGAGCAAACAGGAUUAGAGACCCCCGUAGUCCCUGUCUCUUAUAC
rnacentral:rRNA from 1 species